CGUGUAGGCGGUCAGGUAGGUCAGUUGUGAAAACUGGAGGCUCAACCUUCAGACGUCGACUGAAACCCCCUGGCUAGAGUCCGGGAGAGGAGAGUGGAAUUCCUGGUGUAGCGGUGGAAUGCGCAGAUAUCAGGAAGAACACCCGUGGCGAAAGCGGCUCUCUGGAACGGUACUGACGCUGAGACGCGAAAGCGUGGGGAGCGAACA
rnacentral:rRNA from 1 species